ACCCGCUGAAUUUAAGCAUAUAGGUAGGCGGAGGAAUCAACACCAAAUGGCAUUUUUGAAGUAAUUGCGAAUGAAUUUGAAUUUGAUCAAUCCAACAAUUGGGGCUAACCAGCCUUAACAUGUAGUGUUGAACUGUGUAACCAAUGGGGGUCUGAAUGAAUGCAUCUUGGAACAGAGCAGCAAGAAGGGUGACAUUCCCGUUUGACAUUCAUAGUUUUCCGUGUACUGUGCGUUUGUGUUGAAUCACGCUUCUUGGGAAUGGAGUGCAAAGUGGGUGGUAAGUUUCAUGUAAAAAUGCAUACAAGCUUGAGACCGAUAGUACACAAGUACCUUGAGGGAAAAAUUAAAAGGACUUUGAAAAGAAAGUUAAAAAGAGCCUGAACUUGCUGAGUGGAAAGCAAGCAGAAGUCAUUAAUGCCUGUAAGACUGUUGUUGUAUUGUAUCCCUGCUGCUUGUUUAAUACAGUAGUGCGAGUGCUAUGAAUGCAACAAGGCAUCUUCUUGUGUUGCCAACAACGAUCUGUGAUUUUUCAUUGAUUGGCUGUGCAAAGUCUGCUGUUUUGGCUGAUUUUUAUACAUGCAACAAUCCAUGGAUUGGGUGUUUUAUUUUUGUUCUUGAUGUUUGGCGUUUGUAUAUUAUUUUGACAAGGGUAGAAAUGUAAACCGUGUUGGCAUUAUGCUUUUGUUUGACCCGUCUUGAAACACGGACCAAGGAGUCUAACAGGUGCGCAAGCAUUUUGGAUAAAUCUGAUUUGCAUAAUAAAUGUAUGUGCUUGCAUGUUUGCACAAGCGGCCAAUUGACUUACUGAAACAGGUUUGAGCUGGAGUGUUGCUGUUAAGACCCGAAAGAUGGUGAACUAUACUUGAAAAGGGCGAGGUCAGGGGAAACUCUGAUGGAGGCUCAUAGCGAUACUGACGUGCAAAUCGUUCGUUGUACUUGGGUAUAGGGGCGAAAGACUCAUCGAACCAUCUAGUAGCUGGUUCCCUCCGAAGUUUCCCUCAGGAUAGCUGGAUGUGUACAGUUUUAUCAGGUAAAGCGAAUGAUUAGAGGAAUUGGGGAUGUGUUAUCCUUGACCUAUGCUCAAACUUUAAAUGGGUAUGAUGCAAUGUUUUCUUUUGUGAAUGUUGGAAGCAAAAUAAAUGAUCUAAGUGGGCCAUUUUUGGUAAGCAGAACUGGCGAUGAGGGAUGAACCUAACAUUGGGUUAAAGUGCUUAGCUGCUUGCUUAUCUGAUACCAUGAAGGGUGUUGUUUCAUUUGAACAGCUGGACGGUGGUCAUGGAAGUUGAAAUCCGCUAAGGAGUGUGUAACAACUCACCUGCCGAAUGGACUAGCCCCGAAAAUGGAUGGCGCUAAAGCAAGUGACUGAUACCCAAUCAGUGGUGUUGAGUUUUGACAUUAAUGUGUAGGAGGGCAUGGGGGUUGUGGUGCAGCUGUUGGUAUAAACCUAAGUGAAGCAUCUCCUAUUGCAGAUCUUGGUGGUAGUAGC
rnacentral:rRNA from 1 species